rnacentral:rRNA from 1 species
GACGAACGCUGGCGGCGUGCUUAACACAUGCAAGUCGAACGGAAAGGCCCUGCUUUUGUGGGGUGCUCGAGUGGCGACCGGGUGAGUAACCCGUGAGUAACCUGCCCUUGACUUUGGGAUAACCUCAGGAAACUGGGGCUAAUCCCGGCUAGGAGUUCCCGCUGUUUGGUGGGGGUUGGAUAGUUUAGGCGGUUGGGGAUGGACUCGCGGCUUAUCAGCUUGUUGGUUGGGUAGUGGCUUACCAAGGCUUUGACGGGUAGCCGGCCUGAGAGGGUGACCGGCCACACUAGACUGGGAAUGCGGCCCAGACUCGUACGGGAGGCAGCGGAGGGGAAGAGUGCACAAGGGACGGAAGCCUGAUGCAGCAACGCCGCGUGGGGGAUGACGGCCUGCGGGUUGUAAACCGCUUUCGCCUGUGACGAAGCGUGAGUGACGGUAAUGGGUAAAGAAGCACCGGCUAACUACGUG